rnacentral:rRNA from 1 species
ACGCUAGCGGGAGGCCUAACACAUGCAAGCCGAGCGGUAGAGAUUCUUCGGGAUCUUGAGAGCGGCGUACGGGUGCGGAACACGUGUGCAACCUGCCUUUAUCAGGGAGAUAGCCUUUCGAAAGGAAGAUUAAUAUCCCAUAAUAUUUUGAGUGGCAUCACUUAAAAUUGAAAGCUCCGGCGGAUAGAGAUGGGCACGCGCAAGAUUAGAUAGUUGGCGGGGUAACGGCCCACCAAGUCAAUGAUCUUUAGGGGGCCUGAGAGGGUGAUCCCCCACACUGGUACUGAGACACGGACCAGACUCCUACGGGAGGCAGCAGUGAGGAAUAUUGGACAAUGGGUGAGAGCCUGAUCCAGCCAUCCCGCGUGAAGGACGACGGCCCUAUGGGUUGUAAACUUCUUUUGUAUAGGGAUAAACCUACCCUCGUGAGGGUAGCUGAAGGUACUAUACGAAUAAGCACCGGCUAACUCCGUGCCAGCAGCCGCGGUAAUACGGAGGGUGCAAGCGUUAUCCGGAUUUAUUGGGUUUAAAGGGUCCGUAGGCGGACUCGUAAGUCAGUGGUGAAAUCUCAUAGCUUAACUAUGAAACUGCCAUUGAUACUGCGGGUCUUGAGUAAGGUAGAGGUAGCUGGAAUAAGUAGUGUAGCGGUGAAAUGCAUAGAUAUUACUUAGAACACCAAUUGCGAAGGCAGGUUACCAUGUCUUAACUGACGCUGAUGGACGAAAGCGUGGGGAGCAAAC